UACGUAGGGUCCGAGCGUUUGUCCGGAAUUACUGGGCGUAAAGCGCGCGUAGGCGGUUUUGUAAGUUAGAGGUGAAAGCCCGGAGCUUAACUCCGGAACUGCCUUUAAGACUGCAUCGCUAGAAUCGUGGAGAGGUGAGUGGAAUUCCGAGUGUAGAGGUGAAAUUCGUAGAUAUUCGGAAGAACACCAGUGGCGAAGGCGACUCACUGGACACGUAUUGACGCUGAGGUGCGAAAGCGUGGGGAGCAAACAGG
rnacentral:rRNA from 1 species